rnacentral:rRNA from 1 species
CCAGACUCCUACGGGAGGCAGCAGUGGGGAAUAUUGGGCAAUGGGCGCAAGCCUGACCCAGCAACGCCGCGUGAAGGAAGAAGGCUUUCGGGUUGUAAACUUCUUUUCUCAGGGACGAAGCAAGUGACGGUACCUGAGGAAUAAGCCACGGCUAACUACGUGCCAGCAGCCGCGGUAAUACGUAGGUGGCAAGCGUUAUCCGGAUUUACUGGGUGUAAAGGGCGUGUAGGCGGGAAAGCAAGUCAGAUGUGAAAACCAUGGGCUCAACCUGUGGCCUGCAUUUGAAACUGUUUUUCUUGAGUACUGGAGAGGCAGACGGAAUUCCUAGUGUAGCGGUGAAAUGCGUAGAUAUUAGGAGGAACACCAGUGGCGAAGGCGGUCUGCUGGACAGCAACUGACGCUGAGGCGCGAAAGCGUGGGGAGCAAACAGGAUUAGAUACCCCAGUA